GCCGGGGUGGCGGAACUGGCAGACGCACAGGACUUAAAAUCCUGCGGAUAGUGAUAUCCGUACCGGUUCUGGUCCGGUCCUCGGCA
rnacentral:tRNA from 1 species